rnacentral:tmRNA from 1 species
GGGGGCGACUUGGCUUCGACGUGGGUUGCAAAGCAGUGUAGGGCAUACCGAGGACCCGCAACCUCGUAAAUCAGCUGGAAAACCAAUAGUCGCAAACGACGAAACGUACGCUU